rnacentral:lncRNA from 1 species
CUCUACCCCUCCAGCCUCCUGUGGCUUCACAGGCAAGUGCCGCAUCCCAGGAAGAAGGAGUUGGAGCUCCGUGAUGUUCUGGAAGCUGAGAAGUCUAAGGUCAAGACUCCAGUGGAUUACGCAUCUGGCGAGAGCCUACUUCCUGGUUUGUAGGUGGUGUCUUCUCUCUGUGUCCUCACAUGGCAUAAGGGAAAAGGGACCCCUCUGGGAUCUAUUUUUAUAAGGGUACUAAUCCCCUGCAUGAGGGCUCCUGCCUCAAGACCUAAUGUAUUGUCCAUUUUCAUGCUGCUGAUAAAGACAUACCUGAGACUGGGCAAUCUACAAAAGAAAGAAGUUUAAUGGACUUACAGGUUCACGUAGCUGGGGAAGCCUCACAAUCAUGGCAGAAGGCAAGGAGAAGCAAGUUACAUCUUACAUGGGCAGCAGCAGGUAAAGAGGGAGAGCUUGUGCAGGGAAACUCCCAUUUUUAAAACCAUCGUCUCGCAUGAGACUUACUCACUAUCACGAGAACAGCACGGGAAAGACCUGCCCCCAUGAUUCAAUUACCUCCCACCAGGUCCCUCCCACAACACAUGGGAAUUCAAGAUAAGAUUUGGAUGGAGACACAGCAAAACAAUAUCACCUAAUCACCUCCCAAAGGCCCUACCUCCAAAUACCAUCGCAGUGGGGAUUAGAUUUGAAGAUAAGAAUUCUGGGAGGACACAGACAUUCAGUCUACAGGGGACAAUAUGGAAACAAAUGGGCAUGGCUCCAUUCCAGUAACACUUUAUAUGCACUGCAAUUUAAAUUUCAUAUCGUUUUCAUGUCAUAAAAUAUUUUUUAUUUGUUUUCCAAACGUUAAAAAACAUAAAAACUAUCUUUUUUUUUUUUUAAUCUCAUUAGCCAUUCAAAAACAGAUGAGAUGGGGACAGAUUUAACCCAAAGGACAUAGUUCAACUCCUGGUCUUGACAGAGGAGAAGCCCUCAAAGGUAAAUCUUACUAAUUUUUGAGCUUUAUUAUCUAAUCCCUCAAAGGUAAUUCAUCCUUGAGUUUAACUAUCUAGCAUUAACUGAUACAAAAAAUGCAUAUAAAUGUACAAUUUACCCUUGAACAAGAAAGAUAGGUUGACCUGUGCAGGUCCACUUACACUUGGAUUUUCUUCUGCUUCUGCUACUCUUGAGACAGCAAGACCAACCCCUCCUCUUCCUCUUCCUCCUCAGCCUACUCAAUGUGAAGACAAUAAGGAUGAAGACCAUUAAUGAUGUUCUGCUUCCACUUAAUGAAUAAUAAAUAUAUUUUCUCUUCUUUAUGAUUUUCUUAAUAACAUUUCUCAAGUCUAUUGUAAGAAUACAGUGUAUAAUACAUAUAAUGUACAAAACUUGUAUAAUCAACUGUUUCUGUUACCAAUAAGACAGUAGCCUAUUAGUAGUUAAGUUUUUGGGGGGUCAAAAGUUACAUGCCAAUUUUUGACUGCAUGGGGUGUUGGGGCCCCUAGUCCCUGCAUUGUUUAAGGGUCAACUGUAAUAACAACUAUAAACAACUGAAUGACUUUUUGAUUACAAAAAAUUCCUUGAGACAAAGCCUGAAUAGAACAACCAUAAAUGUGGCUUUGGGGACACUGUUGCGGCUUCAUGUUUCAUCAUGACUAGAGAUAUAAUACCUUAAGUAGUUAGCCACCAACACUCCAAUCGCAAAUUCUGGAGGUCUGGGAUUAUUCCACAAAUCACUGGGUAGAUGCAAACCUUCUAGAGAAGUCUAGUAUCAGCAGAGUAAAACAAUCUCCUUUUAAAAAUAAGAUUUCUUUAUCACUCCCUGCUUUCACGCAAUCACAGCUUCUUUUUAUUUACUUAUUUAUUUUUUAGAUGGAGUCUCACUCUGUUGCCAGGCUAGAAUACAAUGGCACGAACUUGGCUCACUGCAACCUCCGCCUCCUGGGUUCAAGAGAUUCUCCUGCCUCAGCGUCCUGAGUUGCUGGGACUACGGGCACACACCAUCAUGCCCAGCUAAUUUUUGUAUUUUUAGUAGAGACAGGGUUUCACCAUGUUGACCAGGAUGGUCUCGAUCUCUUGACCUCGUGAUCUGCCCACGUCGGCCUCCCAAAGUCCUGGGAUUACAGGCAUGAGCCAGUGCGCCUAGCAAACGACAGCUUUUUGAGCCUCUGUUUAACAAUCUCUUAAACCUUAUAGGUAGGCAGUUCUGAGACAGCUCCUAAUCAUCUCCCCUCCUGGUAUUCAAGCCCUGAUGGAAUACUCUCUUCUUCAAUGUGAGCUGGACUUAGUGGUUUUCUUCUAAUCCAUUGAAUACACACAAGUGAUGAGCUGUCAUUUCCAAAAUUAGUUCACACAAAGCUGUAACUUUUGUUUUGUUCACAGCCUCUCUCAAUUGCCUUCUCAGCUUGUAUGCUUUGAAGAAGCAAGCUGCAGUGUUGGAGAGGCCCAUGUGGCAAGGAAAUGAGGGUGGCCUCCAGUCAAUGGCUGGUGAGAAACUGAGACCUUCCUUCCAACAAUUGUCAAGUAACUGAAUACUCCCAACAAUCAUAUGGGUUAGGUUAGAAGUGAACCUUUCUCUAGUUGAGGUUUCAGAUAAGACCACAGAUAUUAUACUAACACCUUGAUUGCAGGCUUAUGAGAAACCUUGAAAUGAGAAGACUAAGUAAAACCAUAUCUGGAUUCCUGACUUG